rnacentral:rRNA from 1 species
AGCAGCCGCGGUAAUUCCAGCUCCAAUAGCGUAUAUUAAAGUUGCUGCAGCUAAAAAGCUCGUAGUUGAAUUUCGGGAUCGAUAUAUCGGUCGUGCCUCGGUACGUACUGGUAUUUUCGGUUUCUCCCUUCUGACGAACCUUGAUGUCAUUAAUUUGGUGUCUUGGGGAAUCAGGACUGUUACUUUGAAAAAAUUAGAGUGUUUAAAGCAGGCUCACGCUUGAAUACAUUAGCAUGGAAUAAUGAAAUAGGACGUUUGAUUCUAUUUUGUUGGUUUCUAGGAUCGACGUAAUGAUUAAUAGGGAUAGUUGGGGGCAUUAGUAUUCAAUUGUCAGAGGUGAAAUUCUUGGAUUUAUUGAAGACUAACUACUGCGAAAGCAUUUGCCAAGGAUGUUUUCAUUAAUCAAGAACGAAAGUUAGGGGAUCGAAGACGGUCAGAUACCGUCGUAGUCUUAACCAUAAACUAUGCCGACUAGGGAUCGGAUGAUGUUAAUUUUUUAAUGACUCAUUCGGCGCCUUAC